rnacentral:piRNA from 1 species
UCUGCAGGUAUGCCAAGGAUAAAUGUAGA